GGGAGCUACUGGUAUCCUAAGAGAUAGGAUAAUCUGCUUCACCGUAAGUUGAGAGCAGAAGCUGGGUUUGUCAGUGUGAGAAUUGCCUUUUGGGAACAGUUAGUACAUGGCUUGGAAGGUUAUAGCCACCAGCCUUUACUUUCCCACCACCCAAAUCUGUUAUAUCAUCAUCAGAAUGAUCUUUUCCAAGAUUCAAAUCUAAUCGUCCUAAUUCGCUGUUAACUCUUCAGUGACUCCCAGUUGCCUUCAGGUUAGAGUCCAGAUUCCUUCUGUAACAUGUGAGGUCUUCCUGGAUCUGAUCUCUGCCUCCUGUCCUCCUGUUGUUGCCUGUGCUCUAGUGACACUACAUUAUCUGCAGCUUCUUAACCUUUCCGCUGUCAUGUAUGCUCUGGCCCAGGAUAGCCUUUCUGCUGUGCUGUACUUGCCCGCCUUCCUGUGCUUCUGUUUUACUUGACAGUCUCGACUCUUUCUUUAAAAUUCUUCUCAACUGCUGUGUUUCUGUGAAGUCUUCUGACUUCUGAAGGUGAGGCCAUGGGAUGAGAGACUUUCCUUCACUAGGUUCUCGUGUAGUUGGUAUGUACAAAAGUCUUAGUACAUGUAGCAUCAGUGAUUAGUAGGCACAGUGGUGUCUCUUAAUGCUUUUAUGACCCAUUGGUGUUUUUAUUUUAGUGCUUCAUCCAUAUGUAGAUCCAGUCCUGACAGAUAUCUUUAGAAUUAGAAAAAUAAAUAAUACAUUUUAUAUAGCACCUUGCCAGACUUAGCAAAUUCUAUUUUAUUGUAUACCUCUUACCCCUGAUGAAGUGAAUAGCCAUCAGUAAAAUGAACCAUUAAGUUUGGAAAGAGCUGUUUAUUAUCAGGUUGAUGGCAUAAGUUCAUCUGAUCUGAUUUUUUAAUCAUUGGCAAACUUUGGCUAAGAUAAGUAUAAUUAUAUGCUUUCUUUCAAAUAACUUUUUCCUUCCUUCCUUCCUGUCUGUCUUUCCAUCUUUUCAGGUUGGACCCCUCGCCUGGGAACCGCACAUGCCGCGGAUGUGGCCCCAAAAAGAUAAAAGACAAAAAAAAAAGAUAAAUUAAAAAAAUUGGUUUGAAGCCAUAGGCAAAAAUGAACAAUUCCUAUACUAUAAUAAUCCGGUUCAGUAUUUGCCUUCCUCAUUGCACCAUGAGCUUGGUAGUGGCUGGAACAUUGUUAUAUUUGUCUCUGUAUCUGCAUUGACCUAGAAGGGGCCUGGCACCCAAGAGAUGCUUAGUAAAUACUAUUAGAAUGAAGGAAAGCCCCUGUAAGACAGGGAAAAUUAGAUGUUCCUCUAGGUUGUCUUAAGUCUUUUUUUGGGGGGUGGGGUUGCCGCACUGUGGCAUGUGGAAGUUCCUGGGCCAGGACUGAACCCUUGCCACUGCAUCUACCCAAGUCACUGCAAUGAUAAUGCUGGUUCCUUAGCCCUCUGAGCCACAUGGAAACUCGGCUUAAGUCUUAUUAUCUUGGAAGGGUCUAGGCAUCCUCCCCUGCACUUAAAAUCUUACUGAAUGCUAGUAUCUCGUCUGUCAUGUGUGCAAGUUGCAUUAGAUACUAGAGUGGGGACAGGGAAAACAUUCUGCUGUUAAUAUUCAUAGAUUCUAUGAUAUUAAACAUAUCUCCUUUCUAAAGGGCAACAGUCUAAGUUAGGUACUUGGCACAUAAAUGUAUUCCUCAGAAGGGCAAGGAGACUAAGAUAAUAUUGUCAAGUGCAGUUUAAUUCAUUUUAUUUAUACAGCCCAUUGUUUAUCCCCAUUUCACAGAUAGAGAAACCGAGGCUCUGGAAGGUUGAGGGGCUUGACCGAAGUUAUACAGCUAAUAAGUGGCAAAGUUAGUCCAAGCUUGGCUCUUCCAAAAAUUGAACAGGGCAGUACUCUCUCUUUUUCCCAGUUUUUAAGGGCAAGCACAGAGUUUUUUGUUAGCUGAUGGUAAUAGAAAACUGAGGAAUUGAUUUCUGUGUCUGGACAUUUGGGGCUGGGCAAGUAACAGCAGAACAAAAUAGCAUUUGCAAGGCUGUGAUCAUAGUGCUUGCUAGUACUUGGUCUUUUAAAUAAGCCAGUUUGAACCUGUGCUUCAGACACCUAGAUUUGUGAAGCAGUUGCUGUCUGACAGUGGGAUAGUCUUCCUUCUCUUUUGUCUUUUUUAGAGUCCUAUACUAGCAGCUCACAAAAGAGUUCUGAUGCAUUCCUUGCAGCCUUAAACGUCUCUUGCUCCUCCAGGUUUCUUGUUUCCGGGUGUGAAACUAGACAGACCACUCAGUUAUUACUAGGAAGCAAAAUUUAUGAGGCUGCUGUGUUUCUUGCUUCUGGGCUUGUAUAUACAAAGCCUUUGAGUAAGUAAUUUAGAGUUGAUCGCUGUUUGUUCCUUUCGCAGGUCAUCAGCCAGACAGAGUUGGGGUUCCUUGUGCCUGUCUCACUGCUUGAAGAGUCAGAGUAUUGCACAUGGCCUGGGAGAGAUAUUGUUACAAGAAAAGUUUUCUAUUUAAAGCAUUGGGAGAGGCCAGGGUGUCAGGAUUUGCUAAUCAGAUUAUUUUGUGAUUAUCCAUUGGGAUGCCCACCGAGACUGGCUGACAGUGUGAAUGUCACUUUCCCUUGGUCUCUUUUGGUACUUCCAUUGACUAGGGUAUCUUAGGGUAGUUCACUUUCCCCUUCAGUUUUCCUGACAGUAAAUGCUGCUGCUUAACUGCUUUUCAGAAAUAAUGACAUUUAUUCUUUGGAAGGAGCUGAAGAAAGAGUCUGUACAUGUCAUUUAUUUUUAACUGCAUACUCAGCGUUGAAAUCUUACUUUCAUUUUGUGGCUUAGACUCAAACAGGAAAGGGGAUGUAGUGGAAUUAGUAUAGGAUCUAAGUGCAGAACCACUUGGCAAAACGCCAUUCUGCUACUUAAUAACUCUAUUGGCUGAGCCUCAGUUUCCUCAACAUUAAAAUGAGACUAAUGAUACCUAAUAAUAAUAUUAGUGAUCUGUGAUUUAGGAUAAGUCUGAAUUUCUGUGAACCUCAAUUUUUUAAUCUGUAAAGUAGAGGCAGUAAUUCCUCAGUAAUAGAUUUGGUUUGAGAAGGAAACUGGCUAAUAUAAAUGGUAGUGCCUGGUGGAGUGCCUGGUACGAUAGUAUUUGUGAACGCAAAGUGGCUAUUAUACUGUUCUUAGGGGAGCUGAAGGAAAGAUCGCUGAGGGGAGUUCUCCUGUAGCACAGCAGGUUAAGGAUCCAGCACUGAAACUGCACUGGCCCAGGUUGCUCCUGUGGCUCUGGUUCCAUCCCUGGCCUGGGAACUUCCACGUGCCAUGGGCGUGGCCAAAAAGAAGUUGAAAAAUAUCCCUUAGGGUAGGGUAGUUCCUGUAGGAUGGGUCAGGGCUUAAUAAAUAAUUGUUGAUUAAUUCUUUCAAUGAGGAACUCUUGUCAUUUCCUUUAAGGACAGUUUUACUUGAUCUGUUGGUGUUCUUUUACCAUCAUUUUUCCAGAGAGCGCUAUGGUUUUCUUCCCAAGCUAUAGUCCACAUUUUGUUGUUCUAAGUUGCUCUCUAUCUAAAGUAGGGUACAGCAGCGAGUUGUGGUUCAAAAAUUCCAGUGCCUUGUAUUUCUGGGUCCUGUGUUUUGUAUGGAAGAUUGAGGAGAGUUUGUUGGAGGUCUUUAAGGAGAUGUGAUCAUGCUGUUAUUUUGCUGUUCUUUGGUAUAUGCCAAGAAGGAGGACUGGCCAGUAAAGAAAAAGGUCUUAGGGACCAGCAAACUAGCUAUCUCUGCAGACCUGGCCUGUGAUCUACUUAGCCGCUUCAGGCAAGUGACUCUGGAAGUGUAAAUUCCAACUGUCUCGGUACGGGGUUUGAUUUCUCUUUUUGUUGCAGUUAUGGAAUCCUUAGAGAUCUGCAAAGGCUGAAACCAAGAGAUUAAGAGUUCUUGUUUGAAGUCAUAUGGUAAAACCAGCACCUAGAUUUCUUGCUUUUAACUCUCUUCCAGAAAUUAGCUGUUUAUUUCAUAGGAUGUCUAGACAACAAUAAGCAGUUUAUUUUCAAGAAUACUUUUAUUUUCCUUCUCAUCAAUCCCGAAGAAUUGUAAUGAGCUGUAAAGUUCACAGAAUUCUUUCAUGGCCAGUGUUGCUUUUCUCUUCACAUCUCUGUAAGGUAAGCAAGUCAGGUACUCUUAAUGAUUUGGAAUUUUUUCUCUUUCUUUUUUCUUUUCUUUUUUUAAACCAAUGAGAAAAUUGAGGCCCGGAGAGGGAAGGUGACUUGUCAGAGUCACAUACUGAGUGAGUGGUAGGAUUAGAAUUAAGAAGAAGACCUUUUGUUUGUUUGUUUGUUUACUUAUUUACUUAUUAUUUAUUAUGCCCAUGGCAUUUGGAAGUUCCUAGGCCAGGGAUCAAACCUGUGCCACAGCAGUUUCAACACCAGGUCCUUAACCACUAGGCCACCGGGGAACUCCACGAAGGCCCUUUUAAUUUUAGGUUUGUUUGUCUUUUUAGGGCUGCACCCAUGGCAUAUGGAGGUUCCCAGGCUAGGGGUCAAAUCAGAGCUGUAGCUGCCAGCCUAUACCACAGCUACAGCAACGCUAGAUCUGUGCUGCAUCUGUGACCUCCACCACAGCUCAUGGCAAUGCUGGAUCCUUAACCCACUGAGCAAGGCUAGGAAUCGAACCUCCAUCCUUAUGGAUGCUAGUCAGAUUCAUUUCCCCUGAGCCAUGAUGGGAAUGUGCAAUUUUAGGUUUUUGAUUAUCACUGGGAACAUUGUCACACCUUGCCACCCCUGGAUAUUAUCAAUCUCUACAAUUUUUACCUCUCUGUUGAGAAAAAAAUACCUUGUUAAUGAAGUUAAAUAUUUUUUCAUGUUUAUUGGCCAUGUUUGGUUGUUCUUUGAAUUUUGUGUCAUUUAUUGCACAUUUUCUGCUAGGUUAUUUGUCUCAUCAGUUUUGCAGGGUGGGAGGGCUCUUUAUAUAUUAAGGGUUCACAGCUUUUGAUACAUGGUACAGACAUUUUUGAAGUUUUAUUUAUGAAACUUGGUGCCUUCCUAGAGUACCAAAGAGAAAAAUCUUUAUAUUGGAAUAGCUGUUUUUUAAAAAAUAGUGUAUGCAAACGACCCAAACAAAUAAAAAAGAAAAAAAA
rnacentral:lncRNA from 1 species